rnacentral:rRNA from 1 species
GACCUCAAAUCAGGUAGGACUACCCGCUGAACUUAAGCAUAUCAAUAAGCGGAGGAAAAGAAACUAACAAGGAUUCCCCUAGUAACUGCGAGUGAAGCGGGAAAAGCUCAAAUUUAAAAUCUGGCGGUCUUUGGCCGUCCGAGUUGUAAUCUAGAGAAGUGUUAUCCGCGCUGGACCGUGUACAAGUCUCCUGGAAUGGAGCGUCAUAGAGGGUGAGAAUCCCGUCUUUGACACGGACUACCAGUGCUUUGUGAUACGCUCUCAAAGAGUCGAGUUGUUUGGGAAUGCAGCUCAAAAUGGGUGGUAAAUUCCAUCUAAAGCUAAAUAUUGGCGAGAGACCGAUAGCGAACAAGUACCGUGAGGGAAAGAUGAAAAGAACUUUGGAAAGAGAGUUAAACAGUACGUGAAAUUGCUGAAAGGGAAACGCUUGAAGUCAGUCGCGUUGGCCGGGGAUCAACCUUGCUUUUGCUGGGUGUACUUUCCGGUUGACGGGUCAGCAUCAAUUUUGACCGUUGGAUAAAGUGUAGAGGAAUGUGGCAUCUUCGGAUGUGUUAUAGCCUUUGCUCGUAUACAACGGUUGGGAUUGAGGAACUCAGUACGCCGCAAGGCCGGGAAUUUAUUCCACGUUCGUACUUAGGAUGCUGGCAUAAUGGCUUUAAUCGACCCGUCUUGAAACACGGACCAAGGAGUCUAACAUGCCUGCGAGUGUUUGGGUGGAAAACCCGAGCGCGUAAUGAAAGUGAAAGUUGAGAUCCCUGUCGUGGGGAGCAUCGACGCCCGGACCAGACCUUUUGUGACGGAUCUGCGGUAGAGCAUGUAUGUUGGGACCCGAAAGAUGGUGAACUAUGCCUGAAUAGGGUGAAGCCAGAGGAAACUCUGGUGGAGGCUCGUAGCGAUUCUGACGUGCAAAUCGAUCGUCAAAUUUGGGUAUAGGGGCGAAAGACUAAUCGAACCAUCUAGUAGCUGGUUCCU